CGCAUCUGUGCAUGCAGUAUAUCAAUAAGCGGAGGAAAAGAAACUAACAAGGAUUCCCUUAGUAACGGCGAGUGAAGCGGGAAGAGCUCAAAUUUGAAAUCUUCAAGGUUUUACCUUGACGAAUUGUAGUUUAAAGAAGUGUUUUCCUGUUGAAGUUUUGGUAAAAGUUCUUUGGAAUAGGACAUCAUAGAGGGUGAGAAUCCCGUAUUUGACCAUUAUUUUCAGCUGUGUGAUACACUUUCAAAGAGUCGGAUUGUUUGGGAAUGCAGUCCAAAAUGGGUGGGUAGAUUUCAUCUAAAGCUAAAUAUUGGCGAGAGACCGAUAGCGAACAAGUACCGUGAGGGAAAGAUGAAAAGAACUUUGAAAAGAGAGUUAAACAGUACGUGAAAUUGUCAAAAGGGAAGCGUUUGACACCAGUGUUGUUUUCUCGAAAAUCAAUUAAAAAGAGUUAGAUUUUGUUGUGUAUUGACCUUAACAGCUUGCAUUUCAAUUUUCUUGCUUUUUUUAAUGCACUUUUCGUUUAACAAGUCAACAUCAGUUUCUUUUGUUGUAAAAAGGUCAUUGGAAGGUGGCUUUCUUUUCGGAGAAAGUGUUUAUAGCCUUUGACUCCUGCAAUCGGAGAGACUGAGGUCUGCAGCGUAGAUCCUUCGGGGUUAGAUACAUUUGUGCUAAGUUAUAGCUUUUCUAUAGACAACUUGUUGGACUAUGAUUAGUCUUGUAGCUUACUCGCUUAUGCUAUUUUACCUACGCUUAGGAUGUUGAUGUGAUACUGCGAGC
rnacentral:rRNA from 1 species